CCUUAGACCACAAUGCAACAUGACUGUGACGUCACAACAGCAACAUUGCAAAGGUUCUGCCAGCAGUGGACACAUGUGCAACAUAAGCAAAGACGUACAUCUGAAUUAACAAGAUGGAGGACAUGCAAAUAAAGUGGUGGAAAAUACCCAGCAUGCCGUUCCUGCAAAGGGGCUCAGGACUUUUCUCUUCAGCUGGUUCCAGAUGUACAGACUGUCCUCCCAGUGUUCAAGCUGAGGGCUUCCUGACCCCCUUAAGAGUUAAGGGACAAAAAAAAAACUUUAAAAAUACUGUUGCAUAAUUGCCCCCAUAAUUUGCUUGACAUUAAUGGAAUUUUUCAUUGGUGACAUGAAAUACAUUUUGAAUAGGGUUACAUGUAUAUCUUGUUUUGCUCUUAAUCAUGUUAGUUCUGCCCUGUGACCUAGUUUCCCUCUGUCUAUCUAAUUAGUUAUUUCAUUCACCUGUUGUCCAUUAAUUAUAUAAUUAGUUCCACUUGUUUGUCACGUGUAUAUAUACCCUGUGUUCUCUCCUAUUCUCUUUUUGUCUGCGUUUGAAAUAGUGUUUGGUUGUGUGUUUCCUAGCGUUCUCUUCUAAGUUUAUUGUUAAAGAUAAUUUCUGUGAUUUCUCCAUCAUGUGCUUUUAUUAUGCAACCAUUCUGUAACAGAACACUGUAACCAACAGUGCACUCCGUAAUCUAGUAAGUCAAAUAAAGACUGAUUUGCGCUAAUUUUA